rnacentral:misc_RNA from 1 species
GGAUUCGUAGUCUUGACCUAAACAACAACCAUUAUUAGAGCAUGCAAGCAAAAUCCAAAUCUGCACUCUCAUUUUAACAGCAACACCAGAUUUUUGUUUAGUAUUUAUUAUUUAUCUCAGUUUCUCUGUUCUCUAAAACUGAAAAUUUUUAGGGUGAGAAUACUUAUUCCCCUUUUCUCUGGCCCUAUCCCAACAACCAAAAGGAAAAUAACCUCAUGCCAAGAAAAGAAUACUUGGAUCCAUAGGAAGAGAAGAAAAACAAUACAUUCAGAGAGAAAUCGAAAGGAAAUACCUUGAAAGCAACAUAAC